rnacentral:rRNA from 1 species
GGAUCAGGUAGGAAUACCCGCUGAACUUAAGCAUAUCAAUAAGCCGGGAGGA